rnacentral:rRNA from 1 species
AUACGAAGGGGGCUAGCGUUGCUCGGAAUCACUGGGCGUAAAGGGUGCGUAGGCGGGUCUUUAAGUCAGGGGUGAAAUCCUGGAGCUCAACUCCAGAACUGCCUUUGAUACUGAGGAUCUUGAGUUCGGGAGAGGUGAGUGGAACUGCGAGUGUGGAGGUGAAAUUCGUAGAUAUUCGCAAGAACACCAGUGGCGAAGGCGGCUCACUCGGCCCGAUACUGGCGCUGAGGCAACGAAAGCGGUGGGGAGAC